UUCAUUUCAUCGGGUGCCUCCCAUGUCAGGCAGCCUUUGGUACCACGGGACACCACACCCUGACCAGUUGGCCAGGAGGGGGGUGAGGCUAAUGGCUCCCAGGACGCCACCAAAUGGUGGGGAAGUUGGUGUCAGAAGGCGUGGCCUACCAGGGUGGCAGAUACGGACGUGUACAUCUUGCGAGGCCGCCAUGUUGAGGCCGCCAGCGACGGGCAGCGGCGGUGCCCAAAUUUAUGCGCGUUUCGCGUCGCGUUCCUUCUGCGUGCGGUCUUUCGGCAGCGCCCUCUAGAGACCGGCCUGAGGCGUGCGAGGGUCCGGGCGAGAGAAAUUACAAGUACACUGAGAGGCAGGCAGAGAGAGAGAGAAGGAAGCAGGCUCCCUGCUGAGCAGAGAGCCCGACGCGGGACUCAAUCCCAGGACCCUGAGAUCAUGACCUGAGCCGAAGGCAGCGGCCCAACCCACUGAGCCACCCAGGCGCCCCUUCAGUUUUAUUAUUAAAUAGUCCAAGUUUCCUAGCUGGUGUUCAAGGCCAUGAGCUACCUCAGCCCAUCCCUCUCCUGGAUUCCUCAAGCUCUUUUUGUAUCUAUAGCUUUGGAAUGUGCUGUUCCCUUUUCUUAGAAGGCUUCCCCCCUCUCGUUCCUACCCCAUGUACUUUUUUGUUCACAUCAGCAACCAUAAAAUAUGAAGACCUGAA